rnacentral:lncRNA from 1 species
GGUGACUGCUCUCUGAUCUGCUUCUGGGGCAGGACAGAAUUCUUGGUCCCAAGCAGUCCCUGUUUCAUGUACUUCAAGGCCAGUGGCAUUUGAACAGAAAGAGGGCAGUGGAGAAGAAAGAACUUUAGAGCAAUGACUAUUAACUAACGUCAUCUGAGAGAAGGGACAAAUGGAUGGGAAGGCGUGCUAAGGCUUGUUUUCCAUUAUUUGGUUGCUGCUACCCUCUUUGGGUCCCAAGAAAGUCUGGUGGCGAUCCGGCCACUUUCCUGGCCAGAGGAUAGGGAUCCGCCCGGCCCGGGAGCACAUUUCCUGAGCAUCGGCAGCAGACAUCUUGGUUCCGGGACCCUGCCGAGAGAACUCUGCACAGUGUUCAUCAUGAGCACACGUGGCAUAUAUGAAACAAGGACCACCUGUCCCCUGUAUACAUCUUCUAUGCUCUGACUUUCACUGUGUCAAUCAAUAUAAAUGGGAUAGAAGCUCCAGCUCCCAUUCAGGAUUAUUACAUGAUCUAUGCUGUAGCAAAUUACUGCUCCUGUACCCUCCAGAAUAAUUCCUCUCUGUUGACUUUGCAUUAUAUACAGGGGAGAUCCUGACUGCAACUAUAUCUUGGUGCUGCCCUUGUACUUUUUCAAGGUAUGGAUACAUUUUGUUGAACUCCUGGACACAUUGGUAGCACUAUCUCUUCAUCUGCUUCAGAAAGUUGCUGAGUCCAAAUACUCUUCUCCCUUUCUCUGCCAAAUUUGCUGUUAUUUCCACCAGGGCUAGUCAUCCACAAAUUUGCUGUUAUGGAAGCGAGAUGAAGACCAAGAUGCUUGUGUGACCUAACAGCUGUAUAUUCUACUUGUGUUUAAGAAUAAAAUUCAGUUAACAUAGUUUUAUACUGUUCAUCUGAAAAGUUCAAUGAAUUUAAAAUUAUUAAUAAAUCAUACACCUCUGGUUCCUGC